UACGUAGGGGGCGAGCGUUGUCCGGAAUCAUUGGGCGUAAAGCGCGUGUAGGCGGCCCGGUAAGUCCGCUGUGAAAGUCCAGGGCUCAACCCUGGGAUGCCGGUGGAUACUGUCGGGCUCGAGUCCGGAAGAGGCGAGUGGAAUUCCUGGUGUAGCGGUGAAAUGCGCAGAUAUCAGGAGGAACACCAAUGGCGAAGGCAGCUCGCUGGGACGUGA
rnacentral:rRNA from 1 species